rnacentral:rRNA from 1 species
UACGUAGGGAGCAAGCGUUGUCCGGAUUUAUUGGGCGUAAAGAGCUCGUAGGCGGCUUGGCAAGUCAAGUGUGAAAUCUCCAGGCUUAACCUGGAGUCGCCACUCGAUACUGCCAUGGCUAGAGUCCGGUAGGGGACCAUGGAAUUCCUGGUGUAGCGGUGAAAUGCGCAGAUAUCAGGAGGAACACCAGUGGCGAAGGCGGUGGUCUGGGCCGGUACUGACGCUGAGGAGCGAAAGCGUGGGGAGCGAACAGGAUUAGAAACCCGCGUAGUCC